AUAUCCAACUACUGACCUGACUAUUCUGUUUGCUUGUUAAUUAGUGAGUGAUUUGGGGUUUAUACAGACACAACCUUACCUGUUGACCACACUAUACUCGAGAUGUGAUUAACACUUAGAGGAAUGAAUUUGAUUUAAAGAACCCUUAUAGUAUUUACUAACUGUGACUCUAGUUGUGGAUUACAGUUAUUUGUAUACUAUUGAAUAAAGAAUAUUCCUUCAUGAUAUGCAAAAGCUGUCCUCUUUGAUAACAUGGCUUUGGAAGGUAUGCACAUAGAACAGCGCUCACCAGUGUGACACAUGUGGAAGACAUCUACCUUCCCAUAAUUUGACCAGUGCUUUCUAAUGAACCAGAAUAUGGCACUAAAACAAUAAUAGCAAUAAGUCCCAUAUACAUCAAUCUGAUUAUUUGUAAGAAUAGAAACUUUCUACAAAUACUGAAGACUUAACCGGAUAUGACGUCAAACCCUAUGACUUGCACGGGUUUGUAAGACAUUUGAUCUGCAGGUGAAUAUUAGUAGUGUACAUUUAUAAUGAGGUUUUUAACUUUUACAAUCAUUUUCACCACCUAUUAUUUUCCUUUUCAGUUGGCUACACAUAACAGAUUAGAAUUUAUGCCAAUUAGCCAUGGUCCAUAUGGAUGGCUUGAUGUGCCAUGUUUGUGAGCAUGUAGGGAUCAUGAAUGAUAUGCCUCCUGUGUCACUCACUGCAAGAUAUUUAAUGCUAAAUAUCAUUUGCCUUUAUGGUUUGUUCUUGGUUAGGAGAUAGCUGAUUUAUGUAUGCUUUCCUAAUUCAAUGUAGCAGAGAGGAGGCUAUUGCCAAGAGACAGACUUAGCAUGAAAACAUGUGUAGAGGAAGCAAAGAUCUAUAUGAUUUGAGCUUUUUUCCCAUUAGGAUUGAAAGCACAAGUGAUUCUUGGCCUGAAGGUGAGUCACAGAUGGACAGGGCUCAGAUGGCACAUGAAGACACUGAAGUGGGUAAGAUUCCCUGGUGAGAAUUGACAGUGCAUUUUGGCAAGAGAUGAAUUUGUCCCCUAUAUAGUGGGGUCAUUACACACAACCUUCGCCCAUUCCUCCAUCUGGUUUUUAUGUCAAAUAACAUUAAUUCAGUUUUUAGUGGUCUGAUUCUCAACCAGUUCAAAUACAACAAGUAUCCCAGACAUAUACUGAAGUGUGCAUGUAUACGGUUCCAUUUGUUUAUAAUUGGUUGAGAAUGGGUAAGGGGUAAUGCUCACAUCUAUGAAAAGAAUGAACAGGUCAUAGAAAAAGUCAAAUUACUAUAGUGACAGUUUUCCAAGUGUAAAAAAUAAACUUCAUUUUUUAGAAGCCCUUUCCAAUAUCCUUGUUAUUAUAUCUUCAACAUUGAGCUCCUGUCAUUGAAAGAACUACCAGCUUCAGUGAAAAAUGCCUAGAUAAGAAGGGGAAAUUAAGAAGUGAUUCAAUGUUUACAAAAAUACUGACGGAUGAAUCACUGUUUAAAAGAAGAAUAAUUCACUUUCCUCAAAGAGAAAAAGCACCCAGAACUUAAUGGUAACCAUACUUUAUGUUCUCUAGAUUGUUUGACAGUUGAUGUACAGCCAUUCUAACCAAGUAAUAAUAUAAAGGUCAUGUUACUAUUAUUGCAUCUAGAUCAUUAAAAAUGGAAGGUGAUUAACUCAAAGUAAUGUCCUUUUUGAAUUGUUUUCAGUCUCUGCUUAACUUUGUGCUUCAUUGCUGGAUCAGUCGAAAAUGAGGCACAAAUCAACUGAGAGAAUCUUUGGACAUAGGUUUCUUCCAAAGAAAUAAGCAGCUACUUUAAAGUUAGUUUUAUAUGCUGAUCAACCUGAAGGUGAAAAUCAGCCCAACAAAUUUUGUAUAUUUUACUAAUCAUUUUGAAACUUUGGAGAGACUAAUAAUUGUAAACUAUUAUUAAGGUUUCAGUUAAUUGACUAUAGAAAGUUGUCUUUUGAUAGUACCUCAGCGACCCCCAAAAAACUGCAGCAGUUGCACUCAGAGACUGAGCGUAUACUGGGAAAAAUGGCUGAUAGAAGGUAUAUUCAUAAUAUACUGUGAACAUACAUGGGCUGUAUGACAGGCAGCAGCAUUUGUUGAGUUCUUACUGUAUGUAAAGCCUUCUGCUAGUUACUGUGCGGAGAUACAUGACAUAGAAAAUGUACUUGCUCUUCUUGACACUUUGAGUCCCAUUAAGUUUCAUAAGAAUAUAUGUGCAUGGGAAAAGGAGACUUUGGAAUUAGUAUCAAGCAAAAUACUAAUGUUAUAAUAGAAAUGGUCUAAAGUAAGAAGGAAAAAAGGAGAGAUGUAAGGAAUGAUCAGGAGUGACUCAGCUUUUACUGAAAAUCUUUGGUAACUGUAUAGGAACUAAACCCUACAUGGAAUAUAGUGCAGGCCCAUUGAUACUUUUGAGCUAAUGGGAAGGAACAGCAGAAAGCUAUGCUGGCAGUGCUUCAAAUGAAAAUGUGCUCACUGAUGACAUGGUCCACCUCAUACCUAAUGUGAACAGAUUGCAGAAGGUCAGAGGAAAAAUAGAAGAAUGAUGGCAAAUAACAGAGGUAGAACUAGCUAGAGACCUUAAUUAAAACAACUUGGCUUUCUAUUUUUUUAAAAAAGUAAGAAGCUGCCUAAAAGAAAGGGGAAAAAAUGUUUCUAUAAUGAAGGUUUCUUUAAAAAAUAACAACUUUACCAAGAAUGUAAUCUAACAUUAGCCUAAUAGCAUAGAAUUUUGUCAUACAACAGUAUAUCCUUAACAGCAGUUUUAUUGAGAAACAUGCUGAUUUUGUGCUAACCAAAUACAAAUAAUCACAAGCAUAAUGUUCUUCUAGAGUUGGUACUGUGUUAAAUAAAUGCACUUGGUCAGUCAUUUUUCCUUGAUAGCAUCAUGCUCCUGAAUGUAGACAAUUGAGAAUGGAUGUAAUUACAAACUAUUCAAAUAGACUAACUCUCCAGAACUAUUUUUAAGCAUUCAUAUUUUAAUCAAUAGUGCAGAAGGGAACUAUGAUAGAAAUAUUUUGUAUUCUGACUAUAUUUGCAUAUUUGUGUCAGUUGCUUGAUUCAAACCAAUUAGACUACAGUUAUCUAUGAAAACCAUAUGGUGCACAAAUAAUGCAUACGAGACCAGUUAAACAUCAAAAGUGUAUCAUUUGCAUAGUUAGAAAGGAACACUGACAGGGAAUAUAUUUAUUAUUCAAGAAGUAUACUACCUAAUAGAAGGUACUAUCUUUAUGUUUUAAAUCUAUAUGUACUGAAGCAACUGAUCACUCUUCAAAUAUUUAACUUGGGGCAAGAGCAUAGAAAAUGGGUAAUAUGAGGAGCAGAAUUUAGACAAUUGUUCAAAUAAGCUUGUGAAAACCGUGCUUUUUGUAGGUAAAUCAAUGACAGGAUGACCUUCUAACAUUCUGUUGGAAUUCCUAAUUUAAAUUUUCCUAGUAGGACUAUUCUUAUCAACACUUAAGGACAUAA
rnacentral:lncRNA from 1 species